rnacentral:rRNA from 1 species
AGUGAACGCUGGCGGUAGGCCUAACACAUGCAAGUCGAACGGCAGCACAGUAAGAGCUUGCUCUUACGGGUGGCGAGUGGCGGACGGGUGAGGAAUACAUCGGAAUCUACUUUUUCGUGGGGGAUAACGUAGGGAAACUUACGCUAAUACCGCAUACGACCUACGGGUGAAAGCAGGGGAUCUUCGGGCCUUGCGCGAUUGAAUGAGCCGAUGUCGGAUUAGCUAGUUGGCGGGGUAAAGGCCCACCAAGGCGACGAUCCGUAGCUGGUCUGAGAGGAUGAUCAGCCACACUGGAACUGAGACACGGUCCAGACUCCUACGGGAGGCAGCAGUGGGGAAUAUUGGACAAGGGGCGCAAGCCUGAUCCAGCCAUACCGCGUGGGUGAAGAAGGCCUUCGGGUUGUAAAGCCCUUUUGUUGGGAAAGAAAAGCAGCAGGUUAAUACCCCGCUGUUCUGACGGUACCCAAAGAAUAAGCACCGGCUAACUUCGU